UAAGUUAAGAGUGUUUACUUACCGAUUGAAAUACUUACUUGCCCAGCUGGCCAAAGAUACCUGCCACUGCCAUGCUAGAUAAAAAGAGAGUAUAAAGCCGUUAACGAAAUGUAGUAUUUUGAGUGUGUAAUUAAAAAAGGAUGAUGAUUGAAUCACUUGCUUCUUCUCCUCUUCUACUACUCUGUUUUUCUCUCUCUCCAUCAUUUCUCCCCAAUUCCAAUACUAAUUCUUCUUCAAAAUCAAUUCAAAAAUCCCUUCUUUUUUCACUAUUUCACUUCUUAGGAUCCACCAUGAAUUCUCAUUAGCCUUUCUCAACUUUUUCACUCUCUCUCUCUCUUUUUUUUUGCUCUUCUUGUGUCAUGAUGACCCAGUUUCUUCACCUUUUUACCCCACCCACCACCCCUUCUUCUGCUCUCUUGUACAGCUGAUCCACCCCUUCAAAACCCCACCUUGACCCCCCCCUCCUUCUACCUUUUGACCUACUCUUCUCUUCUUUUUUUUUUUUCACCUUCAGUUCUAGGGUUUCCUUUUCUUUUCUUGAUCCUUUGUGUUCCGCCCUUCUUCUUCCUGCUCUAGCUCUUUUCUCGAACACCCUUUUAUUCUUUUGUAUAUACCGUUAGAUUCUCACCAUCUUUUCUGCCAUUUCUUUAGGGGUUUUGCUGGGGUUUUCAGUGGAUCAGCUUUAGUAUAACGUGAAUAGCUUCUGUUUCUGGUCCCCCCUUAGUUCUCUCCUGUAGCUUGUUAAUCAAAUUGGGUAGUGGGUUAUGGCGUAUCAGCAGCAGCCACCACCAGUUCAGGGUUCAGGUUCUUCUGCUGCUGCUGGUGGUGGGGUUCCAUUCUUUAAUUCUCCUUUUGGGGACACCACCUUCACUAAGGUCUUUGUUGGAGGUCUUGCUUGGGAAACUCAAAGUGACACCCUCAGACGAUACUUUGAGCAGUUUGGUGAAAUCCUCGAGGCUGUUGUCAUCACUGAUAAAAAUACUGGCCGAUCCAAAGGCUAUGGCUUUGUGACUUUCCGGGACCCUGAGUCCACCAGGAGGGCGUGUGCUGAUCCUGCUCCAAUUAUCGAUGGGAGACGGGCAAAUUGUAAUUUGGCUUCGUUAGGGCGACCUCGGCCUUCUGUGCAAUUUGGACGUCUGAGGUCAUCGACACCAUUUCCACCAGGUCUUCCAGUUGCUCGGGGUGCUUAUGCCGGAAGCUUUGGCUACCAGCAACCAGUUUCUUAUGGCUACCAACAAGGCUUGAUGUAUUCUCCCUAUGGGUAUGCAACAUAUGGUGCGGAUUACGUUUAUUCUCAGGGUGUUUACAAUCCUUAUGGUGGUCAACAGUACCUACCUGUAUAUGGUGUACCUGGAACUGUUAACACAACAAUGUAUCCUUACGGCCAGCUAAGUCAGGCUGUUCCUGGAAGUCACGGUUAUACGACUUUGCAGGGUUAUGCAGUGCCAGGACAUCAGAUUCUUCAGUUUGGUGGGCCUGGUGUCAAUGCAAUGACAGCUUCAUCCAUUCCAACUAUUCAAGCACCAUACCAAACAGGUGUCGGAGCGCCUGUUACACCACAGCCACAGUUCAUACUACCUACUCAUUCUCCUCAAUUUAUGCAAGGUAGCGGUUCUGACCAAAAUGCAGGGUGAGAUUUUAUCAAGGUACUAGAUUGCAGCAGGACUAACAGCAGCAAUAUUGCUACUUGAGAGGCGGGCUUUUAAUCUAGCCUUGCAAAUUGUUCGUUUUGCAUUCUAGAGGUUAUAAAAAGUCGUACUCACCAUGAGAGCUCAAUGUCUGAGUCGCUCCUGAUGAUUGAGUGAGAAACAUGGAAGUCGCGGAUUGCACUUCCUUCAACAUCAUGUACCUAGGGCCCCCUUGCAUUCUGCUGGUGUCGGGAUAACUGGCAGAGAGUCGGUGUCGUCAUGCAUUGGAGAGAUGCUGGAAUAGGUUUCCGGCUCCCUCCCCGUAGCAAUAAACUUUGUAAAAAAAUUCAUAUCAGAAUCAAUCUAUGAUUCUUUUAUAGUCAAAAACUCCCGGAAUACGAUUCUGGGGGUGUGUAGAUAAGUCAUCACUGCGUUGCGUGCUGGUGCAUCAAGCACCGUGUUUAAAAGGAUUCUCAAGUCUUGUGCAUAAAACAAACAAUCUUUAGUCUUAAAAUUUCAGUUUCAUUCUGUAAUUUGAAUGUUUUAUUGAUGAUUCUUGAAGCAAGAAGCUUCGGGUUCAUACCAAGGUUGGUGACAUACAUGACCAUUUUGGGUGCAAA